AAGGCCGAGCAGGCCAGCAGUAUCGUGUGUUGUGUUCAGUUUUGCGUGAAGCUGAGACCGCUGUGGUUCAAAACAAACUUGUGUUCUGUGUGACGUCUGACGAUGCUGUGGAAGCAUAUCUGCAGCUGAUGAAGGAGAUGGAGACCGAGGGAUUCACAAAGACACACACACUUCCCCCUGAGGUUGAGCGCUUGGCAUCCUACAGCCUGCAGCAGCUGCUGUUGGAGGAGAAGCUGAACUGCAGCACAUUAUCACAGGAAGUUGGUGUCUUCGUGGAGCUGGUUUGGACUGAAGCUCUCGGGUCCCUUAAU